rnacentral:rRNA from 1 species
GUCUACGGCCAUACCACCCUGAACGCGCCCGAUCUCGUCUGAUCUCGGAAGCUAAGCAGGGUCGGGCCUGGUUAGUACUUGGAUGGGAGAAAUAUCAUUUGACACU